rnacentral:rRNA from 1 species
CCUACGGGAGGCAGCAGUGGGGGAUAUUGGGCAAUGGAGGCAACUCUGACCCAGCAACGCCGCGUGAAUGAUGAAGGUCUUCGGAGUGUAAAGUUCUGUGAGGGGGGAUGAACACAAUGACGGUACCCCAAUAGCAAGCCACGGCUAACUACGUGCCAGCAGCGGCAGUACUACGUAGGGGGGAAGCGUUAGCCGGAAUGACUGGGCGUAAGGGGUGCGUAGGUGGUGUAGGAAGUUGGCGGUGAAAUUCCGGGGCUCAACCUCGGCGCUACCGCCAAAACUGUUAGACUAGAGUGCAGGAGGGGUAAGUGGAAUUCCUGGUGUAGCGGUGGAAUGCGUAGAUAUUAGGAGGAACAUCAGGGGCGAAGGCGACUUACUGGACUGUAACUGACACUGAGGCACGAAAGCGUGGGGAGCAAACAGGAUUAGAUACCCGGGUAGUC